ACAGACAAACCCGGAAGCUGCUUGCUUGACGGCAGACAGCAGGGGACACGUGGUUUUGAUAAAGAGAUAAAUUGUGGCUCAGGCUCCUUAACGGCCUCUCUUCCUUGUUGUGGUGAUGCAGGUCGGACGUGAGGUGCUGGAGAAACGAGACCCGACGAGGUGAAACCUUGUUUUACGGAUUUCAGAACUUGGAUGUGUCCGAGGUGCUGGAUGUUUCAGGAGCUCUGGCUGCUGGGUUUCUUCAGGUGGAAAUUUAGUUUUUAAGUUGUUAAAUGUAAUUUAUUUUAAAGUUGAUUCACUGACAAAUAUCAGUUAUCUUUUAUAUUUCAGUGAUAACAAUCUGUAGUAAGUGCAAUCAUUCAAUAAAACAUCUGUUGUAAAUCAA